AGAGUUUGAUCCUGGCUCAGAAUCAACGCUGGCGGCGUGCCUAACACAUGCAAGUCGAACGCGAAAGUUCCUUCGGGAAUGAUUAGAGUGGCGUCCGGGUGAGUAACACGUGGGUAAUCUACCUUCGGGUGGGGAAUAACAUCUCGAAAGAGAUGCUAAUACCGCAUAAUGCAGCGGCAUCUAAUGAUGAUUAGUUGUUAAAGCGGGGGAUCGCAAGACCUCGCGCCUGAAGAGGAGCCUGCGGCCGAUUAGCUAGUUGGUGAGGUAAUGGCUCACCAAGGCUUCGAUCGGUAGCUGGUCUGAGAGGACGGCCAGCCACACUGGCACUGACACACGGGCCAGACUCCUACGGGAGGCAGCAGUGGGGAAUUUUGGGCAAUGGGCGAAAGCCUGACCCAGCAACGCCGCGUGAGGGAGGAAAUCCUUCGGGAUG
rnacentral:rRNA from 1 species